AGAAUCAACGCUGGCGGCGUGCCUCAGACAUGCAAGUCGAACGCGAAAGUCCCCUUCGGGGGACAAGUAGAGUGGCGCACGGGUGAGUAACACGUAGGUAAUCUACCUUCGGAUGGGGAAUAACAACCGGAAACGGUUGCUAAUACCGCAUAAUGCAGCGGCACCUAAUGGUGACAGUUGUUAAAGCGGGGUAUCGAAAGCCUCGCGUCUGAAGAGAGCCUGCGGCGGAUUAGCUAGUUGGUAGGGUAACGCCUACCGAAGGCGACGAUCCGUA
rnacentral:rRNA from 1 species